GUAGAGCAAAGGAUUGAAGCUCCUUGUGUCGGCGGUCCGAUUCCGUCCCGCGCCA
rfam:Lactobacillus kalixensis DSM 16043 Scaffold46, whole genome shotgun sequence.